rnacentral:rRNA from 1 species
CCUACGGGUGGCAGCAGUGGGGAAUAUUGCACAAUGGGGGAAACCCUGAUGCAGCGACGCCGCGUGAGUGAAGAAGGAUUUCGGUAUGUAAAGCUCUAUCAGCAGGGAAGAAAAUGACGGUACCUGAGUAAGAAGCCACGGCUAACUACGUGCCAGCAGCCGCGGUAAUACGUAGGGGGCAAGCGUGAUCCGGAUUUACUGGGUGUAAAGGGAGCGUAGCCGGUGUUGCAAGUCAGAAGUGAAAGCCCGGGGCUCCACUCCGGGACUGCUUUUGAAACUGUGUGACUGGAGUGCAGGAGAGGUAAGCGGAAUUCCUGUUGUAGCGGUGACAUGCUUAGAUAUCAGGAGGAACACCAGUGGCGAAGGCGGCUUACUGGACUGUACCUGCCGUUGCGGCUCGAAAGCGUGGGGAGCAAACCGGAUUAGAUACCCUAGUAGUC